CUCAGCCUUCCAAGGGUCUGUCCUUACCUGCAGCCUCGUUGGCAACUUUGUAGGUGCUCCUUCGUGUUCACAGCCCUGGUGAUCCUGUGGAUUGGUAUCAGUGGUACUGGUGAGGGGGCUGUGCAUCGAGGUCUGUAAGCCAUUUCAUGAGAGCCAAGGCUGGUGGCUGUCAGAGGAGAUGUUUAUAUGUUGAUAGAAUAUUGUAGAAGCUUUAAAAAAAAAGUGCAUUUCCUAAUUAUUUUCCCAAUUUCUCAUUCUGAUCAAGAGCUCCUGUGCCCAUCCUCUGGCUUCCGGGCUGCCUCUUCUACCUGUUAUUCCCUUUCCUCCAUGAUUUUAACCUCUUACUCUCGUCUCCACAGUCUGGAAACAUGUGUGAGUUUUUAUAUCUUUGAAAAAAACAAACAAAGUCUCUUCUGGAUUCUGUGCCCUCUGUGGGUUGUCUCUGCUCUCCUCUGUCACAGUGAAACUCUUCAGAGGAAGUAUCCAUGCUCCCUGCCUCCGUUAAGCACUUCUCAGCCAUACUCCUGCCCCUGCGCAUCAUUUGCUGCCCUCCCAGACUAUCUGGUAAAGGCCACCCUCCCUUCUGUGGAGCUCUGGGUUCUUAUCUUACUUAACCUCUCCUAGGAUUGGACAGUCUUGACCACUUCCUUUUGAAAGCCCUUCCUUCCUGUGAUUUUAUGGUUCCCUAAUCUCUUCGGCCCCAUUCACGUCUUCUCCCCUGUUAACACCGGUUGCUCCUCAAGGUCUCAUCCUCUGUCCUGUGGCCCCACCCACUUGAGUGGCUUUGCCAUCACUUUCCAGCUGAGGACCAGCUCUCCUAGUUGAUUGCCGCCAGCCCACUGCUCCCAGAUGGUAUUUCUCCAUCCACCCAGUCACCCAAGCCUGGAACCUGAUUCAUCUUACACUGUCCCUUUUUUAAUUGGCCUGCUGCCUACCUCUCCAACUUCUUGGCUGCAUGGAACUCCUUAUAUUUCUCCAAUAGGCCUUUCUGCUUCAAAUCACCAUGCCUGUUUCAUCUGCCUUGCAAUAGCUGACAAGUUUCUACUGUUUUGUUAAAGACGUGACUGAACUGUUACUGCCAGCUAGGGAGGAUGUCUGGGCUAACCCUGGUAAUACUUUGGUAUUACCUGGUGUGGACCAGGCUCAUGUUGCUUUUAUAGUCUCAAAGCUUAGUCAACUACUUAGCAUAGGGUUAUGUUCUCAUAUCUUAUAUUGAUAGUGGUUUUUCAUGUCUUAUUACAUGGGCAUCCUGUUUUUUUUUUUUUUUAAACUUAAUAGUCAAUCCAGGCAGUGGUGGUGAUGAGUCUUGCAUUAACUUUAUCCCUGGUUUAGUGGUUUAAAAUGGCAACAUGUGGGCCUGUCUUGUACCCUCCACACAGUGCUGUGGAACGUGUUUCAUCCACCAAACUUGGUGAAUUAUGUAGGAUGUACAAGUUUGACCUCCCCUUUGGCUCAUGUUCACGUCUAUCAAAAUUCCUUGAGGAGGCCAGCCUUUUAGUUUUAAAGUAGGAUGUCGGCUUCAGAGUGCUAACUAGAAGAGUUUGGUGGGAGAACAUUCUGUGGGAUUCCAGAAGAGCCUGAGUCUGUCUCCAGAGGUUAUGAGUCAGUUUUCUCCUGGCUCUCAUAAUUGGCCUCAUGCAGGCUGGAGUCUUCUUGAGCUCUGCACUGCUGAGUUAGAGCUGUUCCCACACUUGGAUCCUGAACCCAAAAGGUUUUUUUCUAGCAAGUGGGCAUUUUCACUUCUCAUCAAGCCAUUAUAAGAAUAAUGUAGUGAUAUACCAUAGCAUGGCUCCAGGAAUUGGAAUUUCUGAAAUUAGACUGCUAGCCUUUUUUCUAACAACCUGUGGGACUUCUUCCCAAAGAGAUUUGCCCAAGUUAUAUGUGUUCAACCAUGAUAAUUUUGAGGGACAAAAGUCAGCUCUAUAGGUUGGAGACAGUUGGGGGAAAAAGGAAAAGGGAACUUGCAGAGGACUGGAGCUUUCCUUUGUGUUGAGCAGGAAAUCUUGGCUGUAAUGUAAUGGCCUUGACAGGAACCAAGGAGCUGCCUCAAAUUAUGAGGGCAAACGGGUGGGUGUUUUCAUCUUUUGGAGAACAGGGAUAGGAAAUACAUCUGCAGGCACGAGGAACCUAGGGUCUUAGUGCUUCUCUUUAAUGAUCUGUGUAGGUGCUGGGUCCGUGUAUUUUCUGAAUCUCAAACUGAGAAGUGUUCACCCACUCUCUGCCUCAUGCUGGACUCGGUGCAGCUCUUCAGCCCCCAUGUUAACCAGGGACAUUUCCAAGUUCCUUCUUGUUGCACAUAGUUGACCAGCAAAGCAAUUGGCAACAGAUUUCUCGUUCUUGAGACAACAGGGAGGAAGUUAAUUAACAGAAGUAGCCCUGUUAUGACAAGAUGGUUCACCAGUAAAGAAAGUUCCCAGGAGGAGUCUUUGGUUCUUGCCCUAAGUCAGGUAAUAACAGUGGAGCAUUGGGGUCCUCAGGUUGUUAGAAUCAGCUCUUCUCUUUUGGAGAGAGUGUUCUACUUAGUACACGCAGCCCCACUGGCUUUGAGAAACACAAGUCUGUUCUCUGACAUACACAUCCUAAAAGACACGGCCAGAUGGUUCCUUUUUGCUUUUUCUUUAAAUGAGAACUAGAAAAAGAUUUCGUCCCUGAGCUGGCUGUGGCUUAUGACAUACUGGCAUUUAUUCUGCCAAAUAGGGGAGUUGGUGGCUUUGUCUGGGGACUUUUAUGAGAGGAGCUCUUUGACUUCUCCUAGGGACCUCCCUUGCUUUCAUCUCUUAAAUGCUCUGGUCUGCCUGUAAGUCCUGAUUUAUGCCUGCUGUCUUGCAGUUAGUAUUGACACUGCUCUCUUAACUUUCAGAAGCUUCCCAGUUUGGAUGAUAAAUUAUAUGGUUUCUCUAUCUAUUUGUUAGACUAAGCCCGCGUUUCUCAAACUGGCACCACUGACAUUUGGGCUGGAUACUCUGUUGUUGUAGGCUGGGUGGGGGUGGGACUUAUCCUGAGUACUAUGGGAUGCUUAGCAGCAUCCUGGCUUCUGCCCACUCGAUGCCAGUAGCACCCUCCCUCUCCAGUUGUGACAAUCAAAAAUGCCCCCAGACAUUGUUAUUGAAUGUUCCCUGGGGGGCAAAAGUGCCCCCACUUACUUCAGAACGAUUGGACUAAGUAUUGCAGAUGGGUUUUAUUCUAAGUGUCAGCUCCGAUCAAUCAGUACUGCCUUGCCUAGCUCUGUGUUGGCAAGGAUGUGAGAGUCAGUGCCAGAGAAUGCUGGGAUAGAUUAGUGCUGUCGGCCAUGGGCACAAGAUGAGGCUGUGGAGGUAGGAGAAGGAAAGUGCCAGAAUGCUUGAGUACAUUACUCCGGCACUGGGAGCGCUGGCAAUCUGGGUGGAGAGACAGACAUGUUUGUAGACAGAGAUCUGUGGCCAAAGCUGUGUAACAGGAUGAGAGGCCACCUACACCUGGUGUCAACACGACUGCAGCAGGUGUCAGGUGUCUUGAGAGUUUAGAAGAAGGUGUUGCCGCCGGGGCCUGGGGUGGUAGAAAGUCACCGCGGAACAGCCCGCGGAGCUCGGAUCCUGUGGAAACGGCAGGUGUGUGUCAAUAAAUGGUUAUGGCACAGCCCAGAUUGCCGGGCCCAGUUUUGUUUGUUUUAAUCCUCAGCCUUGGGUUUAAUUAACGUUGUGGUGACUUGGUAGGUUCACCCUCCCAACAGUGGCUUUCCCGUUGGGUUAAUUUGUUGUCCUGGGCAUUACUGGGUCUUCCUACCUUGUGGUUGACGCGUUCCUAAGGAUUCUGUGAAAAGCGGAAGGCUCUGAAUGAUAUGAGGCCGGGAAGAUGACAGAAGACUGAAGGCAUGUGUCCGCUCUGGGGGACAGGGUACCAGGGGCUGCCCUGGGGAAUUUGGGGGUCUCCCUCUGUGGGAAAGACUGCCUGUGUUUUCACAGGAGACCCAGCCAGUUAAAGAGCCAGUUAUCUCCCCCAGGAGGAGAAGAAAAGGACUCUCUUCUAUGUUAAUUAGUUAGAACACCGGGUUUGGUUCACUUUUGGUGACUCUGGUAUUUUAAUGAGCUCCCAGCGUUGCUGGGGGAGGGGCAGCAGGUCUGCUCUCUUUCCAGACCUGAACUAAUCUGAGAACGAUUUAACCCUUUGCUCCACGCUAGUCCCACCUCUGCUGCUCAGUGCUGGCUGCCCCAGGGUGGCUGGUCACCAAGGGCUGGGUGAGUGUCCACCUGCCUCUCGGGGCUUGAGUAGCCUUUCUGGGUAAGCAAAGAAGGGGCGAAUUUGAUCAUUCUCUUCACAUUUGAGGAUGAUCCUCCUGCCUCACAAGUAGAACGACAGGCCCAGAAAUGUUAACUGACUGUUGUCCAAAGGCCCCCAGAGAGCCAGCCCCAGAAACCAGUUCUCCCACUCCCACCCUGGUGCCCGUCCUCCAGGGCUCACCGCUGGUCCUCCUCCCUGGCUGGAGUUGGAGGGAUGCUCCCUGUUGGCUUGGCCGGUUAGGACCCUCUCUCCACCUUUACCUGGCCUUGGUGACUGUUGUUCCCAUGGAGCUGUCUACCCUCUAAGGUCUUCCAGAGGGAAAGCGCUGUGUUGGGGAGGCGCUCAGAAGUGCUUCAAUGGCCCCUGCAUAAAGCAGACUCCAAGAGGACAGGCAGCCGAGGAAGCCGCAGAUAUGACGAUUCUACUUAGGCAGGAAUGUGCCGGCCAGGAGGCUUGGGCCCGUCAGGGAGCCCCGCCAGCCGGCUGCACACAAAGGCCCCGCUGUCUGCAGGGAGGCUGGGAGGCAGUAGCUUACCCUAGGGCCGCACUCUGUCGCCCCUGCCGCCACAUGGUCACCCCUGCCAGCCGGCUGUGUUGGAUGCAGCCCUGCUGGGGUUGGGGGCCUGAGAGGCUGGCAGAUACACCACAGCAGGAGGGUGUGUGUGUGUGGGGGUCCAGCUUUGACAGGUGACACGGCGCUUCUGGAGCAGGUCAUCAGAGGGGUCUAGUGUGCUGGGUCUCUCUUGGCCUCAGCUUGAAGAAGAUGCUUACCUUCUGAGCAGAAACUGUGUGAAGAGAGGACGGGGUUUGGACUAGUUGGAGUCUGGCCCUGUUGUGUCCUGACCGACCGGGGUCGACUCUGGACCUUCAUUUUCUAGUCUGCCUCUUGACUGGAUGAACGAACUUGGCAGUGUUACCCCAAGGAUCGAAAGAGAGGCCGUGUCCUGUGACGAAUGUCUGAUAGAAGGUAGCAGUGGGGCCUGGAGAUGCUGUGUCUUGAAUGAGCAGUCCCUGCCUGCUUCGAGAACUGCUCAUCACACACUCUCCCACUUGCUUGAAGAAGGUGAUAAGCAAAGGCUUCCUCAGGUGGCUUCUUAAAGUCUCUUCGGUGAGCCUCCUCUGAGGGGCUAGGCUCUGGGGACCAGCACACACAGGAAGUGGCUCAUCUAGCUGCCAUCCCCGCAGCGACCACGUGACUCACGGGCGUGUACUGGCAAAUGCAGCCUCCGGCUUGUCUGACCUGGUCCUUGGGCCUUGGGGUUGACGAGGCCUUGAGGAUGGGUCUUCAGGAGGGUGUCGUGCACACAAGAGACAGUUCCUCCCUGGCUCUGGAGCAAUUCUCUGUUUGUGGGCUGGUGAGCUACCAGAGGGGCGUCGUGACAGGCAGCCCUGGGCCUGCCACCCCAACACCAGAGCCCCCACAUAGAGGCUGCCUGGUCAGGCCCCCCAGAGGAAAAGUCGGCUCCUGGAAUGAGGCUGCCUACUUACAAUGUGGUCACGCCUGUCAGUCUCAUUUCUAUAAAAUGUUCUUCCUAGAAGAGGAAUCUGUGGUUAAUGGGUCCUUUUCAAGGAUUCAGCUCUUGGCUUGCUUUUUUGUUUUGUUUUUGAUUCAACCCAGCAGGCCGGCUUUGCUUUGCUCUGGGCCGACUAAAGUGGGAGAGAAGAAAGAAGUGACCUCUCGGAACCUGAAACUUUGCGGGUGGCCGAGAACUUGGCCCCAUAUCUCUGUUCCUUCACAUCUACCUCCCCGCAACAUGCAAACAACAAAAACUCACCUGCAACGUCUCUAAUGGCUAACCUGCAUUGUGCUUUUAGCCUCUCUGCUGCCUACAAGCUCGUUGUUCCUGUUUUCUCAAGUUCUUGACUUGAGAGAAUGUGUCCUGAUAUGUCAGGGCUGGACCCUGGUGCACUUGGAGGAGAGGAUUGCUUUCCUUUGCCUGCCUGAUUUCUGGAAUUAAGCUAUCAGAGGAGAACAAGAUAAAUUCCUCCAAACUAAAGAGAUAAGGGAGCCAAGAGUCUGCAGGCAUAAAACUCAGGAUAACUUCAGUGGCUUCUAUAAAAUUCCUCUAAUCUUGACCAAGGCUAAUGGCCCAGUGUCGACCUUUGUAAUGACUCCAUGCUUCUGGCAAACAGGUGGUGCUGAUUGGGGCUCGGGUGUCAUUCCAGCUGGACUUCCUAACUCUUAUUGAAGAGCUGGUCUCUCCAACCCAAGAUGGACUGCAAACACAAUAGGGCAGACCUCUAAGCUGAAAGCCAAGCGCAGAAGCCAUGUUCUGGGGGCAAGUGCUGGCCCCACAGUCCCAGCCCAUCUUUUAUUUCAUUUGAUUGUCCUUCUCGAGACAUCAGAUCCCCUGGCUUCUGCAGGGCGCAUCUUCACGUGCCACUGAGGUUUGUCUCCCUGGCACUGGUGUUCCUGGUUCUUUAAGUUGGACUGAACCCAUCAAUGGGACGUUCGCAAAGCCCGCUGUCUCCUGGGAGGGCUGUUUGUGCUCCAACUUGAAGCCGGGUUUGUCCUGAGCUUGCCUGGUGGUGUCCAUCUCAUCCCCUGUCUGUGUCCCUUUGUCUUUCCCGCCUGUCCUCUUGGCGGCCGAGCUGUGACCCGUGGCUUAGUGCUCUCUGUCCAGGACUCCUGCCUUCUUUCCUUUUCCAUGAGGGGUUAUUUCAGAGGGUAAAACUGGCCUCAGGGGUUGUUAGGUCUCUCCAGAUGUCUUCAUGACCUUUGCUGUGGGCUGUCUGUACCCACAUGUGGCUUUUGAGUCUCCCUCCAUCCUGGCAGACCCUUGAGAGCUGCCUCAGCAGCAGCCCUACUCUGAGAAGUUCUUGCUCCCAGCCCUGCCUGCCAGAAGCAGUGGUUUUGGCAGGUUUACCUGUGCACUAGGAGCUUACCUGCGUGAACCACUGGAUGCAUUUUGACCAAGAGGGGGCUUGUCUGGGGCCUCCUAACAGAAUGAAAGAGCAGUCCCUUGAGUUUCUUCCUAAUUGACAGGGGUGCUGGUGGGGGAGGCCUACCAGACCUCUGCCCCUGUGCCUGGGAACUAGGGCCUCUGCAGGGUUCACACCCCGACCCUACAGGGGGAGAGCAUGGGCAGAGGCACCGAGGGGGGUCCCCUGGCUUCUGGUUCGAGUGUCUGCUUCGUCUGGGCCCACCUUUGUUCCUGGAGAGAACACGGCUGGUGGUACCGUGUGUGCUUGGGAGCCACCAGUGGGUUUUUUUCCUGCUCACUGACUGCAGUGGGGUGCAGGUAGGUUCCUCUGGGUGCCAUGAUGCAAGGCCGCCGAGGCUUGGCAGCAACCCCCUAACAGGAGGCAUUAUUUUGCCCCCUCUCUUCCUCACCUCUGUCUGCUUCCCAUGCACUUAAAUAACCCAAGCUCAUGACUUGGGCUGGCUUUCGAAAAAGUAGCAGACAGCUUGCAAGGCUGGCAUGACCCUUCGUGAGUGGGAAUAGCCCGUCAUAUGCAGCUCUGAGGCCCUGGCCUAUGGGAGCAGCAUGGGGAAGAAUCUGGAGGCCUGGCUUCUUAGCCCAGCUUACAUGCUUUGACCAAGUCAUUGGGUUUCUCAGAACUCGGUGUCCUGACUUCUAGAUGCAGGUAAUGGGACCACCUGUUGUCUAGAACCUUCCCAGCCCCCACGUCUGAGCUCAAACCCACAAGUCUCUCCACAUUUUACACCUGGCAGAGUGCCUGGUGUUUUCACCCACUGGGACCAAAAUGCUGUCCCUGAGAGGGUCUCGGGAGAAGUAACCUGCAGCCCUGGAAUUUGUCCCUGCAUCUCGAGGCUUCUGUCUCAGGCAACACCGAGCAGGGGUCCGACAGUGGGCAACACGGGGGUCUGCUCUGCAGUUUUAGCAAAAAACCAGCCCCCUUGGUGUGGACAGUUGCAGGCCCACUGGUCGUGCCAUCUCUCACCCGUUCAGCUGGGCUGUCUCAAGCUGCAGCUGCCCUGUGCAUUCACUUUUGCUUGGGCUGUAUCUGCAUCUCAGUCGGUUCUGGAGAAAAACCCUGUUGCUCUGAAGACGGGCCCUGCAGGCAGAAACCUGUUCCAGGUGUCCCCAGGGGGCAGCCCUGCGGAAGGCCAGCAGGCGUUAUCUGAGUGAGCGUCGGAUGAGUCAGCCCCGGGCAGCCUGCAGUGGGUGAACCAGACCUGUUCCCUUCCUCCCCUACUUCCUGUUGGGGCUGAUGUCACAUCACGGCUGAGCGAGCCGCGUGGCCUUUUAUGGACAAGAAUCGGCAGCUCCUCUUUCAGAGGAAGUGAGCAAGAAGGCCCCUCACAGAAGCCUGUAAAGCAUCUACCUGGCCUGAAAUACCUGUGGUUGGGGCUCCACCCCCCCCACCCCCCAACCUGCGCCGGGACCUCCUGAGCUGGCUGGAAACACCUGUGCAUGUGCACAUCAGAAUCGGCUCCAAAAGGCCUCAGGGCAUUUGGGGUUUAAAAUAAAAUCUGGGGAGGGACUGGCCUCAUAACUGGAUAUGUAACUUAAAACCUUUCUCAUUGUUGUUGUUGUGAGGACACCAUGCGUUUGGGAGAGCCGGGAGGUGCAGAGGACGGGGGUCAUUGCGGUCAGUCUCCAAACCCUGCCCUGUGUUUCGGGCUUUAGGCACCCGCCUCAUUUGAUCCUUGGAGCGGUGCUGCCAGGGAACCCUGCCCUCCGAUUGCCCGGAGGCCGGGGGCCAGGCAUCCCGUGGGGACGUGCAGAACGAGGGUGCUGCCCCGGCCUCUAGGGCACCCAGCCAGCGGCUUUCUUCUCUCUCCUGUGGCUCCAGACACAUGGACCGGUAGUUGUAAAGUGUGUUCCCAGGAACCCUCUCUCCACCUCCCAAGCAGCUCUGGUUUUUAUCUCCUACUUUUCAUAUGGGGGACUCAGGAAGAUUUUUUUUUCCUGAGGAAAGGCUGCUGCUGCUUUUAAAGUCUGUAUUGAAUUUGUUACAAUAUUGUUUCAACAUUUUGGCUUUUUGGUAUGUGAGAUCCUAACUCUUCGACCAGGGAUUGAACCAGAAACCCCUGCAUUGGAAGGCAGAGUCUCACCACUUGACCGCCAGGAAAGUCCCUGCUGCGGCUUUUAAGAGAGUUGAAAAUCACUGCAGAGAUUCGUGUUCCUGCCUCUACCCCAUCCCUGCCGAGGCAGGACCAGGGCAGGAGGGGUUCAGGGGCCCUAAGUCAGGCUACUGUCUUCAUCCUGUGGGAGCCUGUUUCCCAGAACAGCAUUUUCUCUGGUGGAUUCACUUCCCUGGUUCUGGGCUGUCGGAUUCCUAUCUGUCUGCCUGUCUGUCUCUGUAGUGGAGGAAGGAAGGGUGUUUUCAAAUAAGCCUUCAUUCCACAUAGACUCAAAUAAAGACUUGAGCAAACAAUGAGUGGGCUGGACUCUCAAGGGUCCGUGUCCCUAGAGAGGACCGUAUGGGGAGAGCUUAUGGAGUGUGUGUUAAGGAGGGUUCUGUCCGGAAUGCACUGGGUCUCUGGCACAGUAAACUGAGCCGGGGGAGAGCCGCUGAGAAUUCCUUCCACUUCCCCCAUCUCCUGCCCGACCCCUGAUGGCUCAGCAGUAAAGAAUCUGUCUGCCAAUGCAGGAGCCCUGGGUUUGAUCCCUGGCUCAGGAAGAUCCCCUGGAGAAGGAAAUGGCAACACACUCCAGUAUUCUUGCCUGGAAAAUCCCACGGACAGAGGAGCCUAGUGGGCUGUGGUCCAUGGAGUCACAAAGAGUUGGGCACGACUAAACAGAAGUGACUAAACAGAAACAAUAGCCCUACCCAGAAGAGAUGCUUCUGAGCGCAGCAACAGAGCCAAAUGUGGUGAGACAGGCUUGUGCAGACCAGAGGCGGUGCCUACCUCACCUGCCUCUUCUGCAGACCUUUCUCUUCUGUAAAAAGAGAGAAAUCGACAGGUUCUGGGGGAUGGUGGGCAGGUGGAUUUAGUGGCAAGAGUUGAGGAAGUCAGAAACACCUCCUCUCAGGUUUCCUCUGCAAAAGUAUUUGCCUCAGCGAAUGUUCUGGUGAAGGAAAUUAAGGUUUCUUUAAAGUGUAAAAUUCAAGGAUUGGAGGGUUUCCUUUUAGGCUGUGUUGACAGUGGUACCUUGGCUUCAGGAGUUGGAGGUGAAAGGUCAGCUAGCAGGGAUAGCUGGAGACGGGGGAGCGGAUGAAGCCAUGAAGUGUUUGGUUCUGGGAGUGGGAUGUGAAGUGUGUGUAGGCCUCUGUGUAAGGCCUCUGUCUGUGUGUGUGCACCCACGGCUGUGCACGUCUACGUGUACAUGUGCCUGUGUGCACACUCAUGGCCCUGCCUAUGCGCCCAGGCACGUCUGGUCUCUGCAUUCAUGUGUAUGCGUGUCCACAUGCAGCUCGUCCAGAGCCCUGUGUGUGUGCGUGUGGGUCUGUGUGCACAGUGUGACUGUGUGUGCGUGCCCACACGUGUGUGUUUGGGGCCCCUGCUUCCUGUUGUUCAGCCGUUCAGCAUCUGACUCCCCCUCACACAAUCAGAGGAAUUCCAGCCGUCCCAGGGACCAGGCCUGGACAGCCCUGGGAAAACGGUUCCGCUGGAAGGGAUGGGAAUGUUUCCUUUUAUGGUAGUCUCAGCCGCCACUGCCUGCCGACUUGCCGCGCCGUGCAGGUACAUUCUUGCCUGCUCCCAGGGAGCGGGACUGAACACGCUAGCUGCUGGGCAGCCUCUGAAAUGCAGCAGGGGUUGGGGGAGGGAGGCCUGACCCCAUCACAGCUGUGUUUUUUCUGUUCUGUGCCGCCCCCCCAGUCCCCUUAUUCUCUUAUUCUGCCCUGGCUUCCCCCACCUUUAGCACCUCCCUCCCACCCCUCCCCCUGCCUUCCCUUCCCUGAUGCCUUAUCGGGGACCCUGCCGGGUCUGU